UUAUUUUCGUUUCGUUUAGUCCAACUCUCGGAGACGACAUCGGCCGACUCGGACUUUGCAUAUUCGCGUUUAAAUCUGCCAUCGCUUGUGUUUUUUUGUUUGAAUUACCAUCCGAAACGCACCUCUUUCGACUUUUAAACCAGCCGCCAUAUUGGAAAGCGACCGAAGCGCCGAAAAAAUUAAGUAUUUGUUCAUUGGUUUAUUUUCGUAAUUAAUUAAUUUAGAUUAUAUUUUAUAAACACGGUCAAAGAAUAAGGAUUAUUUGCAAAUAUCUUAUUUAUAGAAAUUCAAUUAAAACUUAGUUAAUACUAACUCUAAAUACGAAUUGCGUAUCGUAAUUUUAACUAAAAUAUACACUCGAAACCGGAUGGACCGAAGGAUACACGGAGACCGCAUUCUGAAGCAUGACACGUUCCUUCGACACAUCCGGGACGUCAAAAAUUUCGCCCUUUCACCUCCGACUUCUCCAUUGAAUCUACGUAUUAGUUACAACGCUUUUCAAUGGCUUACUUUGCGAGAAUUAAAUUGUCUGCAGCUGUGCGACUUAAAACACAAUCUAAUACACUUAACAGUUAUCUAUACAGGCUGGACACAAAGAAUUCUUUUCCUUAAGCUGUUUGUCUCUUUCCACAACGCGGUCUUUUCCGAGUGCAGUCCAUCUUCCACACUUACGUAACCCUUUGCAAAUGCUUUGUGCCACUUAAACGUUCGUGUCCCGGCUGCGGGCACGUCUUGUGUUUUCGUCGACUCUCGUACGGAAUUUCUUCGCACGAAACUCUCUUAAAUGCCAUCGUUGCGGUUAGGUGACGCACGUUAGGGUAAAUUGCUCUAGAACGAAACACUCGUUACGACUUGGGCUCGAGAUCGAGUACGAGUGCCUUUUGCGCAUGGCUACGUGCGGCGUGUCUUUACUUUUCUGUCGUACAAAUACAAAUUACACGUAAGAGUUUAUUCGUUCCGGGUCGGUCGUCUCUACUGCAAAUGCAAUUCGAACGUUCUAGCAAUUUCCGGUAGGAUCUAACGCGAGCUCUGUCAAUGAAGAGCUGGCGGUUUUGGCGUUGGCUGCGGCCCAAGAAGAUGAAGAAGUGUGAAGGGCGUUCUCCUUCCGCAAUCGAUGAAGAGAGGGUCUUUUCCCCCUUUGAGCGGGGAGAGGAACUCUCUUCCAUCGAUUGCGGAAGGGGUUCUUCCUUCACGGGAUCGCCUUCGGGAAUAGCGGAUGUCGACAGCAUUCUCUGUUCCGCGUUGAACGGAGAGGAGACAUUUCGCCAUUCGGACGUGUUCCGAAAGGUGAAAUGUCUCCAUGUUGACGACAUCAUCUUUGACGCACUGGGAGGGGAGGAAUGUUUCGAUCAUUCCUCCCUUUUCCAACGAGUGGGAUCCUCUCGUUCGGUGUGGGCAAAGAUGGAAAGGAAAAAGCGUCGCUUCGUAAGAGAAGUGAACGACUUUUUCCUUUGCUAUUUCUGAAGGAUAUUACUAACCUAGGAUAAGAAGGCAAGAGGUUUUUUUCGUUUGUUUUUUCCUCUUGUCAUACUAACAACAUUUAAAUUUAAGGUUUUAGUUUCAAUUUACUAACGUAGGAUAAGAAGGCAAGAGGUUUUUUUUUUUUUUUCCUCUUGUCAUACUAACAUUCAAACUAAAACCUUAAAUUUAAUUUACUAAUCUAGAUGUAAGUAGACAAGGUGUUUUUAAUUUUUUCCCCUUGUCCUAUUCACAUUAGUUUAGUAAUUCACAUCCACGCACAUAAACAACAUUCCUCACGCUGAAACACACAGUUCAAACGACACAUUCGUCGCAUCCAACCACCAAUGAUUCCAUUCAUGUGCAUUAUUAACAACACCGCUUCACAACACGAACACGCUUCCCAAAAUCCAACCUCUGGGUCCACAUCCUGGGAAGCGGUAACGUCGGUCGCAAUGGCCUAUGGCCAAAGAGGCUCUGGUAACAAUUUACUUUUGAUAUUAAAAUCUGAAUUUGAAUUGUUAUAACAAUCAUUUACUUGUAUCCAAAUAUUUUUUUUUUACUGAUUAUACAUACUCGUAUAUAUACACAUACACAUACAGUGGAACCUGCCAAUGUGACCAUGUAGGUGACACGACCACCUUCCUAUAGUGACCAGUUUUAUUUGGCCUGAAAUUUACUCGGACUUAAUAUUUUAAUCGUUAUUGACAUUUACAAUAUUUUAAAAAGUUAUUUCUUUCUUCAAAAUUAAGCCUUUUGCCAUUUUAUUAUAAUAAUGAAAUCUCAUGAUACAGAUGGUGCCAUACAAUGUCAACUUUCUGUUAGAGUCCUAGUGUUUUUCGCUGGGAAAGUUACACAACCCGUUGCUGGAUUUUGUUUUUUUUUACUGAUCGUGACGACAAAAACAUUCGAAAUAAAGUCUGUUUACAUUUAUACGUUUGAAUCUUCUUUUACACUGUGAUAAAUAAAGGCAUUCUGGUAUUCGCCAUCAUCCCAAAACUAUGAAUUUGAUAAAAACUUUGUCCUUUAUCAUUAUAUAGACGUUAGUAGUGCCUUUGAUAUCGUCUUACCAAAUAUUUUUCUUGACUGGCCUCAUGAAUAUAAUAUCGAUCAGCGAUUCAUUCGUGGUUCAAUGAUUUCUUUUUGAUACGAAAAUGUAAAAUUAAACUAGGCGAUUAUGAAUUUCUUAACAAUUUCUUUGUGUUCAACAAGGUUCUAUUCUCAGUGUCCUUUCUUCUGUUCAUUAUAUAUCAACAGCCUUCUUUGUCAUCUUAAUUAAAUUCCAUGUAGUAGUUUAUAUUGACCAGUUUAAGUUGAUAUAUUCCAAUCCAAAGAUCCUACAAUCUGAUAUUUAUUUGCUGAAAAAUCUAUUUGAAUCUCCUAAUCUUAGGAUUAAUACCAAAAAAACUACAGUUUUGUGUAUAGAAAAAGCAUAUGUCUGUACAUCAACUUGUGUAUUAAUUUACUAUAAUUUUUUACAAUUAAUUAAAAAAUUUCCAUAAUAUUUUAUCUU
rnacentral:misc_RNA from 1 species